CAGUCGCCACGGGAAUACGAAGGGGGCUAGCGUUGCUCGGAAUGACUGGGCGUAAAGGGCGCGUAGGCGGCGAUCAAAGUCAGGCGUGAAAUUCCCGGGCUUAACCUGGGAACUGCAUUUGUGACUGGCGAGCUAGAGUAUGGCAGAGGGGGGUAGAAUUCCACGUGUAGCAGUGAAAUGCGUAGAGAUGUGGAGGAAUACCGAUGGCGAAGGCAGCCCCCUGGACCAUAACUGACGCUGAGGCACGAAAGCUAGGGGAGCAAACAGGAUUAGAUACCCCUGUAGUCCCUGUCUCUUAUAC
rnacentral:rRNA from 1 species